rnacentral:rRNA from 2 species
GCGGAAGGAUCAUUAU